AACGAACGCUGGCGGCAUGCCUAACACAUGCAAGUCGAACGAGACCUUCGGGUCUAGUGGCGCACGGGUGCGUAACGCGUGGGAAUCUGCCCUUGGGUCCGGAAUAACUCAGAGAAAUUUGAGCUAAUACCGGAUGAUGACGUAAGUCCAAAGAUUUAUCGCCCAGGGAUGAGCCCGCGUAGGAUUAGCUAGUUGGUGAGGUAAAGGCUCACCAAGGCGACGAUCCUUAGCGGUCUGAGAGGAUGAUCAGCCACACUGGGACUGAGACACGGCCCAGACUCCUACGGGAGGCAGCAGUGGGGAAUAUUGGACAAUGGGCGAAAGCCUGAUCCAGCAAUGCCGCGUGAGUGAUGAAGGCCUUAGGGUUNUAAAGCUCUUUUACCCGGGAUGAUAAUGACAGUACCGGGA
rnacentral:rRNA from 1 species